GCAUUGGUGGUUCAGUGGUAGAAUUCUCACCUGCCAUGCGGGAUACCCGGGUUCGAUUCCCCGGCUAAUGCA